UGGGGGCGGAUGGCACAAAGGGGUUUUUAUUCAAAUUUGUUUAGAGUUUCGUGGAUUUGCAUGAAAAAUGUGUGAGAAAAGCCAGCUCCAGUGACCUCAUCUGCACCUGCCAUUAACGUUCAAUUAGCGGCUGAAUAGCGUCGAGCCAGGCGCAGACGCGACGUGCGGAGAAUCUGGCCGGGAGCGAGCUUCGGCAGAAGCCGGUGCACCCGGAGGGGCGGUCGGUCUGCGAACUGCCUUCGCGGCCCCUCCCCCCCGUACCUCUACCCUCGCACCGCCACUACCCAGUCCUCCCAACGGGCCCAACCUUUCCUCCUAUUUACCAACCCCGACAAUCCCCUCCCCAUCUAAUUGCCAAAGCCUCCCUUCCAGUUCCUAACUCCGUAACCCACACACACAAACAUACGCCCCUAGCCACACACACACAUGCCAUCAGAGAGAUAGAACCGUGACCUCCGAAAAUCCCGGGCUCCAGUGCCGGGGGUUCCAGGGAAAGGGGAGGGGGAGGAACUGAAAAGUGAAAAGGGACAGCACUGGACUUCUGAUAGUGGACAAGGGAGGACCCAGUGCCGUUUUGAGAUCCUCAACUCCACUGGGAAGGGGAGGGGCAGAAUCUUUCGUCCAACCCUGAAUCAAAUCCCUCUUGGAGAGAGAUCUGGGACCUACAGCUCCUUAGCCCUAGUCCCUAGACCGAGCUCCGGAGUCAGUCCGCCCCUCGCCGCCUCCCGGACAAAAUGUCAAGUACAAGUUCAAGUUCAGGGCCGUGCCCCGGGGGGCGCAACUCUUCCGUCACCGCCUUUUGUUCUUCCUCUGACAAUCGCUCUUUAUUCCCCCUCCAGGGCUGGGCCCGGCUUCUAGCAGCCGCCGGCAAAUUCUCUCUGCCCCACAGGGGCUAGUGUUGAGAUGUGCUUGCAGUCUGGGCUCCUCAGUCGCAGGGGAACCCAGACUUUGCGGGACUAGGCGUGGCUAUCCGAAGCCCCUGGGAGAGUUUUAUUCUCUUUUCCCUUUUCCUCCUCCCAGUUCAAUUCGGGGCAAACUUUCUAUUCAGUCUUCGAGUUGCUUCCAACAAACUGGCUGCUUGAGUUCGUUUUCAGACCCUUAUCACACCUGAAGUCUAAUUUGAUUAGCAAGACACUUGACCAAGAUUCUUGUCUUACAUUCUUCUAAACAAUCCAGAGAAAGGGAAGGACAGCUUUUCUGCCUUCACCUUGGACCUUCAUCAAAGCCUGAGUCCUCAGACCAAGAAUUUCAGAUUCAUUGGCAGAGCUUAACAUUGUGUAUCUGACUAGUCCUCUUUGCAGAAACCAAAAAUAUCCAAAGGCUCCAGGAGUACAGGCAAUGAAGAGAAAAUGUCUAUUUAAGGAAGUGCCGGGGAAUUCACUAGUCACUAGUCAUCCAGAUAAAUAAAGAUAGAUAUCAAGUGCAAAAGAAAUGAAAUUUGUUUUGUUUCAUUACAGAAAUUAAAACUAGGACCAAAUAGCCAAAAUUCUUAAAGCUAAAAUUCAUUUGGGGGGACGUCAGGAGUAAAAAAAUGAGACAGUCACAACAGGGAAUCAUCUUCAUAACUGUUGUGUCAGCAUCCUCAGGAGAUAGAGAGAUAUGUACACAUGGAGCUCCAGUCUGGUGUGGUAAGAAACAGGAGAAUCUAGGAUUUGUGAUUACAAGGAAUUUGGAUUAGAUGUUCUCUAAAUUGCUUUCCUGCAUUGAAUCUUAUGAAAAAAAUUUUUAAAUUUAUUUUUAUUUUGAACUUAAAUACCAAAGAAAGUAGUCACAUUUAUAUACAUAGUAGAACAAAAAGGGAUGAUUGUAUAUCAAACUAGAUCUCUGUUACAUACAGCUUGCUUUUUAAUGUAAAUAAUAAAUUCAACUUGUAGCUUU